rnacentral:rRNA from 1 species
UACGUAGGGUGCAAGCGUUAAUCGGAAUUACUGGGCGUAAAGCGUGCGCAGGCGGUUAUGUAAGACAGAUGUGAAAUGCCCGGGCUUAACCUGGGAACUGCAUUUGUGACUGCAUGGCUAGAGUUUGGCAGAGGGGGGUAGAAUUCCACGUGUAGCAGUGAAAUGCGUAGAUAUGUGGAGGAACACCGAUGGCGAAGGCAGCCCCCUGGGUCAAGACUGACGCUGAGGAGCGAAAGCCAGGGGAGCAAACGGGG